AUGAGAGCUGCUUGCAAACUUGCUUCCCCUGUACUGAACUUUGCAGGAACAUUGGUUAAGCCAUCAAUUACUACAAAUGAAAUCGACAGGGCAGUGCAUCAUAUGAUAGUUGAGGCGGGUGCUUAUCCUUCUCCACUUGGCUAUGGCGGAUUUCCUAAAAGUAUCUGCACAUCAGUAAAUGAGUGUGCCUGCCACGGACUACCUGAUUCAACACAGCUGCAGAAUGGAGACAUCAUAAAUAUUGAUGUAAAUGUGUUCCUAAAUUAUUUCUUAUGGAGAAAGAAAGCAGAGUAUGCCAUUUCAGCGCACUACGAUCACACCUGUGUCUGGGAGGAAGUUCUUCAGAACAAGUGCUUAAACAAGUACAAUCACACUGCUAUCGACAGGAAAUUUUACUUUUAUCAGUCUGAGGGCCUAUGA
rnacentral:rRNA from 1 species